rnacentral:rRNA from 1 species
CAGUAGCCGCGGGAACACGUAGGUGGCAAGCGUUGUCCGGAAUUAUUGGGCGUAAAGGGCUCGCAGGCGGUUUCUUAAGUCUGAUGUGAAAGCCCCCGGCUCAACCGGGGAGGGUCAUUGGAAACUGGGAAACUUGAGUGCAGAAGAGGAGAGUGGAGUUCCACGUGUAGCGGUGAAAUGCGUAGAGAUGUGGAGGAACACCAGUGGCGAAGGCGGCUCUCUGGUCUGUAACUGACGCUGAGGAGCGAAAGCGUGGGGAGCGAACAGGAUUAGAUACCCCUGUAGUCCCUGUCUCUUAUAC